rnacentral:rRNA from 1 species
GAUGAACGCUGGCGGCGUGCUUAACACAUGCAAGUCGAACGAAGCGCUUAAACGGAUUUCUUCGGAAUGAAGUUUUUGCGACUGAGUGGGCGCGGGUGAAGGUACGCGUGGUAACCUGCCUCAUACAGGGGGAUAACAGUUAGAAAUGACUGCUAAUACCGCAUAAGCGCACAGUGCUGCAUGGCACAGUUGUGAAAAACUCCGGUGGUAUGAGAUGGACCCGCGUCUGAUUAGCUAGUUGGUGGGGUAACGGCUACCAAGGCGACGAUCAGUAGCCGGCCUGAGAGGGUGAACGGCCACAUUGGGACUUGGAGACACGGCCCAA